UCCAGGUUGUCUUCCUAUAGAUAUCGCAAUGUUGGUAUAUUAAGAUGGCCAGAGCUGUACGGUUCCUGACAUCAUCAACAUAAUAUAAAGAAUUACCUUCAGUUACAUCUUAAGUUUAUGGGAAUCCACAAUUGUCAUGCCUUUCAAGAGCCCAGACCCUGGAGCUGGUUCAACAAUGGUUUUGGAUUUGACUCAGAUUGGGUUCAAAUUUCAGUUUGUGAUGUUUUCAGAGCUUACCUAACAAUACUACUGUUGUUUCUGAUUAGCAUCCUGUUCCUUUAUAAUUUAAAGUGUCAAUUAGCCUACAUGAUCAACUACUCCUUUCUUCUUCUUUGCCUCAAAGUGACCUUUUUAGUGUGCAAAAUGUUUAAAUGAGAGGACCCCAUAUUUGUGUAGUUUUCUCCCACUCAGGCCAGCCAGCCUUGCUGCUAUUCUAAAUGGCUUAAGAAAAUGGGUUGAUAGAAGUUACAGCCCUUAAUCAAAGAUGAGCUAAUAAGAUGAGCAAACUAAAAUUAAACCAUAAAAGUUUAUUGCAAUAAAUUUUGAAAAAUAACGAACAAUAUUCUAUUGUUGCUCUAUUCUGGUGCUUCCACAGCCAAUCAUUAUUGUUGUGCAGGUUUUAAUUAUGAAGCUAAUUACUGUAUACACAAACAUCUACAUCAUUUGUCUACAGUUCAUUUUUCAGUGACGCAGAAUAGCUUUCAUAUAUU